UGGGGAAUAUUGGACAAUGGGCGGAAGCCCGAUCCAGCAACGCCGCGUGAGGGAUGACGGCCUUCGGGUUGUAAACCUCUUUCAGUACCGACGAAGCGAAAGUGACGGUAGGUACAGAAGAAGGACCGGCCAACUACGUGCCAGCAGCCGCGGUAAUACGUAGGGUCCGAGCGUUGUCCGGAAUUAUUGGGCGUAAAGGGCUCGUAGGCGGUUUGUCGCGUCGGGAGUGAAAACAGCGGGCUUAACUCGUUGCUUGCUUUCGAUACGGGCAGACUAGAGGUAUGCAGGGGAGAAUGGAAUUCCUGGUGUAGCGGUGAAAUGCGCAGAUAUCAGGAGGAACACCGGUGGCGAAGGCGGUUCUCUGGGCAUUACCUGACGCUGAGGAGCGAAAGUGUGGGGAGCGAACAGGAUUAGAUACCCUGGUAGUCCACACCGUAAACGUUGGGCGCUAGGUGUGGGGUCCUUUCCACGGAUUCCGUGCCGUAGCUAACGCAUUAAGCGCCCCGCCUGGGGAGUACGGCCGCAA
rnacentral:rRNA from 1 species